GGGGGUUAGCGUUGUUCGGAAUUACUGGGCGUAAAGCGCACGGUAGGCGGACUGGAAAGUUGGGGGUGAAAUCCCGGGGCUCAACCUCGGAACUGCCUCCAAAACUAUCAGUCUAGAGUUCGAGAGAGGUGAGUGGAAUUCCAAGUGUAGAGGUGAAAUUCGUAGAUAUUUGGAGGAACACCAGUGGCGAAGGCGGCUCACUGGCUCGAUACUGACGCUGAGGUGCGAAAGUGUGGGGAGCAAACAGGAUUAGAUACCCUGGUAGUCCACACCGUAAACGAUGAAUGCCAGUCGUCGGCAAGUAUACUUGUCGGUGACACACCUAACGGAUUAAGCAUUCCGCCUGGGGAGUACGGUCGCAAGAUUAAAACUCAAAGGAAUUGACGGGGGGCCCGCACAAGCGGUGGAGCAUGUGGUUUAAUUCGAAGCAACGCGAAGAACCUUACCUACACUUGACAUCCAGAGAACUUUCUAGAGAUAGAUUGGUGCCUUCGGGAACUCUGAGACAGGUGCUGCAUGGCU
rnacentral:rRNA from 1 species